rnacentral:tRNA from 1 species
GCCUGGGUGGCUCAGUUGGUUAAGUGUCAGACUUUAGCUCAGGUCACGGUUUGUGAGUUCGAGCCCCACCUCAGGCU